AAAGCUUCAUAUAAAAUAUAUAUUAAUUCUCUUUUGCCUUCCCUUACCCUCCACAGUACCUCAUCUGGAGUGUCUGUUAAGGGUACCCCUUUUCAUGUACACUUGGAAAUAUCCAAUGCUUUACAAAUAUUCCUGAUAUACUGGCUACCCCACAGAAAUGCACGUUUCAAUUAGAUCACCUCUUACUUCUAACAAAUGAGUAUCAAACACACUUAUUUUACGUUUCCUCAGGAAUCGUCCCAGCGAAUAUUUCACUUAUUUUCUCUGAGCAAAUUGAAAUGUUAUGAACAGUAUCAUUGCAGCUUUGUAACUGCAGGUACCUGCAGCUGUUCACUCGGACAGAUACUGCCACAAAGUAAUGACUGUCAAUCUUGAACGGCAGACAUAAAAGUAUCCUUCUGGAUAAUUUCUUCUGUUAGUAUUACUCAUUACCUGCUCUUACACAAUGUUGGCUCACCUCUUCCAGUCUAUUUGUGUCUCUCGGACCCAAGAGGACAUUUUCCCUGCAGGUUUAUAUGACAGUGCAAUCUCACAAUAUGGCGGUACUGAAUAGUUCUUUGUAUAAUUGCACCCGACACUGAAGCUGGCCUCCUGAAUUGCAGUCCAGACAUUUGCUUGGUUGAACAGCGACACUCCAAGUUUCUAUUACUAGGGAACCAAAGGUUAGGGCUCCUACCAAUGAUACCUCUUUAUAUUGUCUAACACUCUAUGCCAGGGAUGGCCAACCUACGGCGCAUGCGGCAAAAGUGACACAUCGGAUGAUUAGAAGUGAAGCAUUGCACCCCAGUGAUAAUAACAAAAAAGUAAGCCUACUCAUGCAAAAAGUAUUAACCAAAAACCAAUUUGUAGAAAAAAAAUCUAUAACAGGAAUUUAAGUAGCUUAGAGCUAGAAAUGGGUUUUAUUGAGAAUAAAUCUAAACCUUAGCAAUUAUUUUUAGUGAUUUUAUUAUUUCGUGCACAUCUUUUGGCGAAUGUUAUCUUCUUUGACAUUAAUCUGUUUUCAAUUUUAAAAAAGUGUUCAAUGAGUCAAACUAGGAAAGAAGGACUUUUGUUCUGUAGUUGUUCCAUAACUGUUCAAUGCACGUUUGAUACUUGUUUGAUCCUGAGGCGCCAAGCAUCUGCACUAGCGGUGCAUCGCAGGUUUUCGCCACUCAGUUUACAACUGACACUCGUGUGCUACAGAGUUGUGCUUUGUUUGUCCUCUGUGAACAUUUGCAGUUUUGAACUUUUUCGAAAAUUAAGCCUUGUUUUUACAUUCAGUUACCUAUCACGGUGGAAAAGAAAAUGAGCAAAAGAAAAGCAGAAAGUGAUAGUAAGUGUGAAUUCAACGAACAGUGGGAAAAUGGGUUCUUAUUUAUAGCGGGUCCGUCAGGAAAAUCGUUGUGCAUUGUUUGUGAAAACACUUUCUCACAUAAUAGAUGACAUAAUCUUAAUAGACACUAUAAAACACAACAUCAGACUGAAAUAGAAGGAAAACUGAAGCCUGUGCUUGGGUCUGAGUUAUGGAAAGAAUAUGUGAUUAAGAAAAAGGAAGAAAUCAAAAGAAGACAAAAUAUAUUUGUUAAAACAAGUUGUGAAAGUUUGGCGAUGACAGAAACGUCCUACGAAAUUGCUUUAGCGUUGGCCAAAAAACGGAAGUCUUUCUCUGAUGGAGAAGAAAUUGUUAAGCCUUAUCUCCAAAUAUUUGCAAGAUGUCUUGGUGAUAAAAAUAUCAAAAGGAAAGUAGAUGAAAUUGCUCUUUCAAAGCAACCAAUUACAAGACAUAUCGAAGAACUCUGUCAUGAUGUAUCUGAGAAACUGAAAGACCUUGUCCAUGCUUGUACUUUCUUUUCUUUAGCUUUGGACAAAUCUGCUGACAUAUGUGAUGUAGCCGAGUUAAGCACUUUUAUAAGUGGAAUUGAUCAUUUUAGUGUCAUUGAAGAACUUAUAGUCUUGAGUCGCUUCAUGGAAAAACAAAAAGAUCAGACAUAGUCAUAGUCGUUGUCAUACUUUAUUGAUCCUGAGGGGAAAUUGGUUUUCGUUACAGUUGCUCCAUAAAUAAUUAAAUAGUAAUAAAACCAUAAAUAGUUAAAUAGUAAUAUGUAAAUUAUGCCAGGAAAUAUGUCCAAGACCAGCCCAUUGGCUCAGGGUGUCUGACCCUCCAAGGGAGGAGUUGUAAAGUUUGAUGGCCACAGGCAGGAAUGACUUCCUAUGACGUUCUGUGUUGCAUCUCGGUGAAAUGAGUCUCUGGCUGAAUGUACUCCUGUGCCCAACCAGUACAUUAUGUAGUGGAUGGGAGACAUUGUCCAAGAUGGCAUGCAACUUGGACAGCAUCCUCUUUUCAGACACCACCGUCAGAGAGUCAGAUAUUUGACAAAGUAAAAUCAUGCCUAGUAAAUCUACAACUAGAUUCUAGUAAACUCAUCGGUGUUUGUACUGAUGGAACGCCAUCAAUGAUAGGUAAAGCCGAUGAGACUACAACUUUGCUUGAAAACUUUUUAGGUUGUCCUCUACAAAAGUAUCACUGGAUUAUACAUCAAGUGUUACUGUGUGGAAAAACUUUAAAUUUGCAGCAUGUUAUGUUACUGGUUGUGAAAUGCAUGAAUAAAAUUAGAGCAAGAGGAUUAAACAGAUGAGAAUUCAGAGAAUACUGUGAAUGGUUAGAUUUGGAAUAUGGCGACCUCGUCCUUCAUUGCGAGGUGUGCUGGCUUUCUAAAGGACAGGUUCUGAGAAGAUUUUGGAAACUGAAAAAUACUGUUCAUAAUUUUCUGGAAGAGAAAAAUGAGCUGCUUGAGGAAAGAGCCCUUUUAUGUGAUAAUAAUUGGCUAUUUGAUUUAGCAUUUUUAGUUGAUGUUACCAGCCAUCUCAAUGAUCUAAAUUUGAAACUCCAGGGCAAGAACAAAUUGUUUCUAGUUUAGUAAAUGAUAUCAAUGAAUUCAAGAUGAAGUUAAAACUGUUCACUUCUCAGUUAGAAAAUGAGGAUUUGAGCCAGUUUCUGCACUUAAAAGAGCAGAGUGAAUGUGCUGAAGAUAAUGGCAAUUUUACAAAAUAUAUUGAAAAAAUCAGGUUAUUGCAAGAGUCAUUUAAAAGUCAUUUUCGUGAUUUUGCUAAAGAAGACUGCAUUCUUGCAUUUAUAAACCCACUUUCAAUUAGUUAACAAAAAAAUCAUGGAGAUGCCUAGUAACGUACAAAUGGAACUUAUUGACUUGAAAACAAAUUCAUUAUUGAACAUGAAAUUUGAUGAGCUUCCCUCAGUCCCAAAUGCUUCUGACAUGAUUAAUUUCUGGCGAUCAUUACCCUGUGAACAGUUUCCAGAACUAAGAAAAUUUGCCCAGAGCUGUCGUUUCAGAACGAUGUACAGAUGUGAACAAGUAUUUUCAGCCAUGAGAUUGAUUAAAAACAAAACUACAUCAUGAUUGACUGAUUCAAAUUUGAAGAAUUCUCUGCUGCUCUCAGUAACUAAUUUAACUCCAAACAUUAAAAGCUUGGCGAAAUCAAAACAGACUCAAAAGUUUCAUUAAGCACAGAUAUCUAAGACCAGUGGACAUAAAUUGAAGGUGAAGAUCAACUGAUUUAGAGGGGAUCUUGAGGAAAUUUUUUUCACUCCGACAGACAUUGUAAUCUGAGACAAAACACCUAACAAAGUAGUGAAUCAGGUUCUUUUGAAGACCCAGACCUGGAGUUACACGCAGAUUUCGGUUCUUUGCGGGAAUGGGACCCGCUCUCAGGGUUUCACGACUGUCCAUUGUUCGAUAUGCCAAGGAUGCGACCUAGGAGAUUAGCUCGCCUUUGGAUUUUCAGGAUCUCGAGGCUCUGAAGGCGGGCGAACUCGAGGUUGGUGCCUCUGCAGGAAUUCAGUGUGUCGUGGGAGAUGGAAGAUCAAAAGCAGCAAGCUGGCUGCUGGCUGUGUGCCAAGAGACCUGAGUUCUUUGGACAGAGAGCUCAGAAAAACAACACAAUGGACUUCUAACGUCAUAAAUCAGCCAGUUAUUUGUUACGUCUCCCCUCCCACUGUGAAACGGAGACACCUCUUUUUCCUUUAUUAGGGAGAGAGAGAGCCUGUGGUAUGUUGAAUACCAGGUGAAUGAGUUGUCUUUGGGGUGCUCCAAGUCUGUGUCUUUGCUGUUGCUUUGCUGCAUGCUUGAGUGCUCAGUGGUGGGUGCCGAUGCUCUUUUUUGCUGGUGGGGGAGGGGGGAUUGUUGCUUUGCUGCCGCUUACACAUGGGAGGGGGGAGCUGGGGAGCAGUGGGGUUCUAACAUUUAUCUGUCAUUCAUUCUUUGGGGCACUCCUCUGUUUUCGUGGACGGUUGCAAAGAAAAAGUAUUUCAGAAUGUAUAUGAUAUACAUUUCUCUGACAUUAACUGUACCUUUGAAACCUUUGAAAAUUUUAACAUUGUAUUUUAACUGGUAUUUUUAACUUAUCAUUUCCACAAUAUAUUCUGUUAGACUCCACCUUCUGGUGGCAAAACAAUAGACUAGUUAUGUAAAGAUGAGAAAAUCUACAGAUGCUGGAAAUCCAAGCAACAAAAUGCUGGAGGAACUCAGCAGGGCAGGCAGCCUCUAUGGAAAAGAGUGAACAGUUGAUAUUUUGGGCUGAGACCCAUUAUCAGUUACAUAACGGUUUAUCACCUUUUCAUUUUUCACUGGCUAAGUGUUAAACAUGCUAUGUCUGUGUCUUUCAUUAAUCCUUUGUUUACCUCAGGAAUGUGGCUUUAGCUCAGUAUAAAAGUGUCAGUCUCUGCAAAAAUCGUCACCUUGUCUUUGGCUUUAGUAUCCUGCAUUUGUCUUUUUCUGAGGUUUCUACCUUUAAUUUCAUAUGCUCUGUAUUCGUUUCUUUGUUUAAGCUUUAAAUAAAUGAUCGUGAAGCAACAAGUUUUCACUCAUUCUUGGAGUCCUAAAAGGAUCUGUGGAUCGAAAAAUCAUGAGCUCCUUCAUACUUUACAAAAGGC